AGCGAACGCUGGCGGCAGGCUUAACACAUGCCAGUCGAACGCCCCGCAAGGGGAGUGGCAGACGGGUGAGUAACACGUGGGAACGUACCCUUUGGUUCGGAAUAACUUGGGGAAACUCAAGCUAAUACCGGAUAAGCCCUUAUGGGGAAAGGUUUACUGCCGAAGGAUCGGCCCGCGUCUGAUUAGCUAGUUGGUGAGGUAAUGGCUCACCAAGGCGACGAUCAGUAGCUGGUCUGAGAGGAUGAUCAGCCACACUGGGACUGAGACACGGCCCAGACUCCUACGGGAGGCAGCAGUGGGGAAUAUUGGACAAUGGGGGCAACCCUGACCCGGCCAUGCCGCGUGAGUGAUGAAGGCCUUAGGGUUGUAAAGCUCUUUUACCCGGGACGAUAAUGACUGUACCGGGAGAGUAAGCCCCGGCUAACUUCGUGCCAGCCGCCGCCGUAA
rnacentral:rRNA from 1 species